CCGGCCCACUGCCCACCCCUUCCCCUAUCUGGACCUCUCCCGGCGGCUGGUUCCGAGGCGGCCUCUCCUCCAGGUGCCCCGCUGUGACCUGCCGAGCUGCAGACAGACGCCGAGACAGGUGUACCAUGAACAUCUCUUCCAUGAACGUGGGUGAAAACCCCCUACUGAAACACAGAGCACUGUAGUUGGAUCAAAUGGCUGCUGCUCCUGAAGCUGAGCCGUUGACAGAUCUCCACAUUCUCUGAGUAUCUCCUCACCUCCCAGAUGCCUUUCCUGCAGCGACGAGAACCCUCACACUGACCUGAAAAAAUCAGGAGCAACAACCAGGGGCUCGCAGAUGGCUCCGGGUCCGACAACACCGAGGGAGGGCCAGUACCCGGACCAGUGCCCACUUCUGGGCCCAACGGUCACGUG